GGGGCAGUACCGGUUUCGACGGGGAUUUUGAAUCCGGAUAAGCCAUUCAUGUACCGUGCCAUGUAAAAAGACGGAAAACUAAAAAUAAACGCUGAAGACAAUUUAGCAUACGCUGCCUAACUUAGGCGGCGGGUCUCCCCCCAUGCUCCCGUACGUGGGACCGGAGGCCUCGACGAUGCGGGGAACUUCACAUAGUAAGCUUUGCCUGUGUGAAAGAUUGAUGAAGCUACCAAAACGGGCCUGCCUGCUUACCGGAAGGUUCUGAGGGAAUAAAAAAAGAUAAGCUAUGAUGGUAGAAAGUUCGGUGGAGAGGUUUUCGGACACGGGUUCGACUCCCGUCUGCUCCA
rnacentral:tmRNA from 1 species